rnacentral:rRNA from 1 species
UGGGGAAUAUUGCACAAUGGGCGCAAGCCUGAUGCAGCCAUGCCGCGUGUAUGAAGAAGGCCUUCGGGUUGUAAAGUACUUUCAGCGGGGAGGAAGGCGAUGCGGUUAAUAACCGCGUCGAUUGACGUUACCCGCAGAAGAAGCACCGGCUAACUCCGUGCCAGCAGCCGCGGUAAUACGGAGGGUGCAAGCGUUAAUCGGAAUUACUGGGCGUAAAGCGCACGCAGGCGGUAUGUCAAGUCGGAUGUGAAAUCCCCGGGCUCAACCUGGGAACUGCAUCCGAAACUGGCAGGCUUGAGUCUCGUAGAGGGGGGUAGAAUUCCAGGUGUAGCGGUGAAAUGCGUAGAGAUCUGGAGGAAUACCGGUGGCGAAGGCGGCCCCCUGGACGAAGACUGACGCUCAGGUGCGAAAGCGUGGGGAGCAAACA